rnacentral:tRNA from 3 species
GCCGACGUAGCUCAAUCGGCAGAGCAACCGCCUUGUAAGUGGUAGGUUAUGGGUUCGAUUCCCAUCGUCGGCUCAA